rnacentral:lncRNA from 1 species
AGCUGUCCCAAUACAGACAUUCAGUUUUAAACCACUAGAAAGGACUUAAGUAAAAGAUAGUAGUUUGAGUUAUUAGACAGGUUGGUCAUAAUGUAAUUUGCUGUAUAUACAUGCAUAUGCUCUGCUUAUAUAUCUAUUAGUCAUCUUUCAGAUUCGCACGUCUUUUAUAUAUAUGCAUUUGUAAGAAACGGAUUGUGAUCGAUGAUAAUGGAAUAACUUUUGAAUCACAUUUACCCUGAGAAAGGAAUUUUCAAUAAGUACUCAAAUCAUCCAACAUUACAGAAAUAAACUCCAAAGCUAUUAUACCCUCCGAUCUGUGGGAGAAGAACUACAUCUUAGUGUGCAGUGAGGUAUCUUGUUCACGGAUCGUCUAACAAACCUUGAUAUUAUUUUACAAUCAUUUAAUUCGGACAACAUGUUCUUGCACUCCUGUACAAGUCUACCAAUGUAAGAUAGCUUAGUUGAUGAGCUUAUAAUAGCUUGUACAGCUAACAAACAGUGAGUUUCAAUUUCACACUUGAGUUACCCAGCUCAAUGCCUCCCUUAUGCCCAAAACUUCUGCCAUCUCGGAAUACCUUACCUUGAAUACACCGGGACAAAGCUUCAAUUGGUUCUCCAUUAUGGUUGCGUGCUACUAACGAGUAAACUACAGGAAUUAGAUGCUUCAUAGAUUGCAUAUGCGCUUUUUACAAUACCAAGAAUCAGGUUCGUUGUAGUCGGUAGGGGUUAAUAUAAUAAAGUUGUAGUAUCUAUUCCCGAACAUAUCAGCUAGUAAGUCUACAUCCCAUUGAUUCUGCUCAGAGAGAAAUAAUUAACGAGGAAACUAUUUUACCUUUCAGAGCAGCAUUCAUUGUCUGAAUGUAUGGAUUUUGCGUCUAGCAACCCAAAACACUAUAAAAGCUUUAACUUUCUGUUUCACACGCUCACUAAUUUCCCAUAUAAAUUUUGUAUGUAAUCUUGAAGCAUUAAAGCCCGAACGGGAAUUUCUUGCCACCAAGGAAGUUAUGACCAAUUUUAUUAAAGUUUUCCGAAACAGGGGAUUGGGGUAGAUAUACAUUCACAUCUAUUACUCAAGAAAGAUAUGAGCAAUGCGUCCGAAAUAAAUUAAGAGAUAGAUAUUGGCCACAAAAAAUACUGAAAUGUCUCUGAGUUCAGUAUUGGGUGAGGUAGGUCGGAUUCUUCACAGACACAACUUUGCUUCUGCACGUUACACAACAUUGAUUCCAGACCUAUUAUUUUCAAACAUCUCACAAAGUGAUCUUAUAUUUAACAUGUUUCAUACUCUUACCCUAAGAUUUGUUCCACGAAACGAUGAAAUACAUUCCACUUUAAAAGUGGAGAGAAUUUAAAUCAGAUUCAGAUUGUUCAAAAUGUGAUAGGUACAGGAAAGGCACAGAUCAAUGAAACUGUCUCUGUAUAUUUCCCAGAAACAUGAUACAUAUAUGUUAUUAUUGUAAGAAAACAACUCCUCCACAUUUUAACCUCGCAACACUAAAAAGUAGUCCCACCAGAAAAUUCUUUGCUAGCUUCUGAAUCUGACAUCUGCAAAAAUGUUUAUAGGCUGAUUUAGCAUAUUGAAUAUAAAUACAUAUAUCAACCUAUAGUUGGCCACCUUAUUGGUAGCUACUAGCUAGUAGAAUGAUGAACAGUCUAAGUUAGAACUGUAGCUAAAGUCGGAAAAUCAUAUUAUAUUUAUAUACAUAAACACUAGUGUAUAGAAAAGCUCUCUUUCAUUUUACAUGAUCAUGUCAAAAACUCACAAACACGAUUAAUGAACUUGGAUCCUAUGAAGGGACGAAUUUGGCACAAGAUAAAGAGUGAUAGCAGUACUAGUGUUUCAUAUGAUUCCAAUAGCACCAGUUCAAUAGUAGAAAAAUUAAAUUUCAGGACGUGAAGCUAAAUAGAAUAUAUUGGGCAUUUUUCAUUAAAAAAAACCUGGACUUCCUGAAGCUAAACGAACCAGCUUGUAUAUGACUUAUGAAUUAAACUGAUAUUGCAUGCAAUGAACAUGAAGGCAUGUAAAAGAAUCCGAAUGGAGAGCUUACCACAUAAUAUUGUCCCAAUCGAGAAAACACCCGCUGCCUCUGGCAUUUGGAAAUCUGUACACAGGACCAUAAACUAUAGCCAAAAAAAAAGUUUGAGAUUGCAAUUUGACUGUAGCUGAAACUAAGUCGGAAAAAUGAAAACGUGUUUUUAAUUUUUAUCAUUCAUAAAUGAACUUCAGUAGACAAAUAUAAUCUUACCUUCACAGCCCUUGACAACUGGAUCUUCUGAUAAAUGAUGUGGUGCAUCCAGGUCAAUGAAUCUGUACGAAUGUAUGUUUAUUCAAGUCAUUAUCAUCUAAAACAAACCAAAUCAACAAAUUUGACCCAACCAGGAAGUCGGAUUUGAGGCUAUAUAUCAUCCCUGGGACCAUCUCUAAACCAGGAAUGUAUGAGGUACAUUAUUUAUUAGAGUGCAGUCGUUUGGAUGGAACUGAUUUAAAUUUGUACUAAUUAGGUCGAGAAUGUGUAUAAUUUGUGUUUCUGUCAUCAUUCAUUUCUAAACUAUUUGAACAAGAAAUCUAAUCCAAAUGAUUUGGAACGAAUGCUUCAUUCCAUUUCUUCCCCGCUUCUUAAAAAUUUAGGCUCGUCCAUGGUGAUUUAGUAUUCUCUCAUACAUUCAUCUUUUUCAUUUAAAUUUCUUUAUUGUUUUCCCCUCCAUUCUCCCAUAAUUCCAUUCCAUAUCCAAGUGAAUGCAACCUUAGAAUGUUACAUUCUUCACAAAAGCAGGUCCUGCCCGUACACUGUAUAAAGUUACACUAAUUUUUAUUUUAUAGUAUAAAUAGGUAAAAUUUAUUCUAAAUGAACAUUUGGCACCAAAUAUGGAGUAUAAUAAUAUUCACUGGAGUGUAAUUUUUAUUAUCAUAAAGUUGGGUUGUUAUUAUAGAGUUACUGUGUUGGGUUGGAUAUGCUCUUAUCAAGUUUAAAAGAAAAUUUUUAACUAAAAUAAAUUGGCUGGCAGAAACCAUGAAGUGGAUGUGAAAGUACAUUUUUAAAUUCCUGAAAUGUUGGAACACCAAUUACUUACUUGAAACAUCCGAGCCCUGCAGCAAGGUUACCAGCAAAGCCCAUUGCAAUUCUAGUCUCAACCAUUCCACCAAUCAUCAAAUGCAGGCCAGAUGCAAGUGCCAACUCAAUUACUUCAAGGGCGCCUAGUACCCCUAGUUUGGCAAGCUUGAUGUUUAUGACAUCUGCUAGAUUUUCUUCAACUAUCUUCUUUAAAUCAGCUAAACCCCGACAACUUUCAUCAGCGGCAAUGGACACCCCGUAUUUUUCUUUUGCAAUCUUAGUAACACGACCAAGACCUUCCCAAUCAUCCUUGUGAACUGGCUGUUCAAAAAGAGCUGGAGUCAACUUCAUCUCUGCAAAUAUAUUGAAUUCUUAGAAAACCAAACAUUAUAAAAAAAAUUGUAACAACAGCAUAGAUUAGUUUUGACAAAAGUCAAAUUCCUACCAUGUAAUGUCUCAAGAACCUGAAUAGCUUCAGUAGAGGUGUAACCUUCAUUAGCAUCUAAGAUAAACGCGCAAUCAGGGUGGGCGGCACGUAUUGCUUGAAGCACUUCAAUGUCUGCUUUCAAAUUCUUACCCACCUUAAGCUUCAAGGUUUUAAAUCCCUUUUCGCGAAACUGUGAAGCCAAUUGAGCAGCUUCCACAGAAGAAACAAUUGGAAUCUAUGCAUAAAAAAUUUUCAUAUGCAGUUACAAAUUCAAUAGAUAAAUUAUAUGUUUAUGUUAGACAGUAAUUACAAGAAAAAACUGUAACAUUGCACAUCAAUUUGAUAUAGGCCCUACCCUUCCAGGUUAUUGGUUCUAAUAUGGGCUCAACAUUGACACUAUAAGAGAAGGGGUAAUAAUAACAUCAUGAGCAAUGUUCAACCAACUAGUGCCAAAGUAUGUUUAUGAAUCAACUUAUACUUUAAAGACUCCUAAAAAACAUCGAUAGGAUAAAAACUACUACAAAGAAAUAAACAGAAACUGACUGUCAUAUCUGUGGUUAUUGUGUUUGAAACACCACCAAACAAUCUCCACAAAGGCUUGCCAACGCUAUAAGAAACUGCAUCAAUCAGAGCCAUCUCAACUCCUGCUCUAACCUUCAAUUAAUCAAACGAAAAUAUAUAACUAGAAAUGCAUAGAAACUCAAAGAUAAUCUCCAAAUACUAAAAUUAAUUCAAAAGAUAUAUAUAACACAUAUAUGUCCAUAUAUAUAUAAUAACUUGAAACUCUGUGCCACUUACCGAAGCAAAUGCAUGCCCUUGUAGAAUGCUACCAACCUUUCCCAACACCAAACCCAGAGUCAUAGGAGGACUCCUCUUCAAAGAUUCACAUGCUUCCGCAACCUUUGACAUAGCCAACGGCUGAUCCUCGGCAGUUAUAGGAGGGAGAAUAGGAGCCUCACCCCACCCAACACAUCCAUCAAACAACUCAAUCCUGAUAGCCACAUUACCAACUUUUUCAAUCCUUACAGUUGCAGCAGUAAUAGGGGAAAUCAAAGGGACAUUUAAGGCUUUUCCUUCUGCCUUCUGCACGUCAACUAUGAAUGUCUCUUUCAAAUUCUUGAACCCAGAAUUUGCAUCUGUCGCCAUUGUCCUCCGAUAUAUCAAAAAUGUUUAGCAGACAAGAUAUUACACUAUAUGUAUUUAUAUGUUUUUUUCGGAGUGGUGUAAGUGCACACAUACAUAUGCAACGACCAGGUGCAUUCUCUAAUUUUAAUCAGGGUAAGGAAUGAGUUGGAUCCCAAUAAACUUAUAAGAAAACUAUAACACUAACAGUCAAGGGAUAUUAACAAAAACAGACCGAUCGACAACACAUUUUACCUACCUCUGUUAGAUUUCCUGGUAAACAACCUGUUUCAUUGAUAGUUUUCAUCUCAGUGAAGCCCCUCAAGAAGCUUUUCUUGCUUGUACUCUGCAACCUUUCCUUGUUUUCCUAGAAAGAAAAUUACAUGAAACACAACAAUUAAGGAACUAAAAUUAAUAAAUAAUGACACAACGAGGAAAAAAACUUAGGAGAAAGUUCUUCCAAUUUAGAAAUCUUAACACAGUAACACACCAAAAAGGCAAGGAUAUAUAAAGAACUUGUACAAAUUAUCAAGGAAACAAGCCAGUGAACAACCAUUUUGGGUUAUUAAUGCCUAAUUCGCAACUAAGAACAAUAAUAAGUUUUACUUACAAGAGUAGUUAAAGUUCCGCAAAUUAGUUACAGUAUUAUUUACCUAUUCACUGAACAAGCUAUCCCACCAAGUAAAGUGCUAAUAUAUUUUCUGGAAAUAUUACACAUAUCUUCACUUACAAUAGUUGUUGCAAAAACUGCGAAUUAUGUUUAGUAAUUCAUUCAUGAUAAAUCAACCACCACAUGAAGCCAUACUCCACGUCUCCAACACUGCAAUCUAUAGCAAGCAGCCAUGCAAUCUCACUCAUCAACCCUAAUUAAAAACUUUAUUGCAUGACCUAAUUACUAACUUCAAUGAUCAAGAAAUCGGUCAUUCUUAAUUUGUGAUGUAUAUCAAGUGAAAAUCGCAAAAAAGAAAAAUAGACAAGUUACCUAGCAGACAAGUAAUUGCUUUUGGUAUUGCAGCUUGGCAACACAUUCGUUGAGCUCUGUUACAUAUUGCCUUAUACUUCUAACAUACUCUUCAGCUGCGUUUUGUAACAUCUUUUGCAUUUUCUUCAUGUUAACAGAACUUGUACGGCGAUAUGGAGUACCUUCCUUUGAUGAAACAUCACCAGCAUCCUCACUCUUUAGUGGAGCAUCUUUUCCCGAAACUAAUAGAGUUUGAUUAUAACAAUCAGCUAUUGCUUCAUAGGCUUUUGUGUUUACAGAAUUUUCUUUUCUCAUUCUGAAACUGUUAGAACCAUAAAUAGUAUUGAAUUACAGUAUUCUUCUUGCCUUUGCAGCAAUACUCCUAAAAUAUAGCAAAUGUACAAAGCUAUCGAUUAUAGACUACAAUGCAGGUAUGCAUAUUUGUCACUUCAGAGUAUACAUAUCCAUCACUUUUUUUAAAGAAUGCAGGUCCCAGAACCUUGUGUGCCUGAAUAAUUGGUAAUACACAUGACAGAAAAACAAUUGACAUAACAAUAUUGUUCAUUUGACUGAAAACAGAGACACAUUAGCUGGUCUUGUAGAACAUUUUCAGAUACAUAGAAUUUCCUGUAUAGCAGCUGGACUUGUAUUUGAUGUCUGGACUACACUGCUUGGAUGACUGGCUGGAGUCCGAAUACCAAGAGGUAAAUAGGAACCUACAUUGUAAUUAAAAUAAAAAAGGGAUUUACAUAUGUACUUGUAUAAAAAUUAUGGCAUUGAGAGUAAUCAUCAGAAGGGGGCUUCAUAUUUUAAACAUACGUGAUGAUUGAGCUGAAUUUUGAAAAUCACGGCUAAGAUGACUGGCUGGAAUAUACCAGUGCGUCCAGUAGAAAUCUGAAUAGUGUUCUGAUCACUGUUUUCACCCAAAUAAGAACCAGUUGUUUCAGCAAAUCAUUUCUAAGUUAGUUCUCUUAGCUCAAGGCCAAAUUAUACACAACUGAUAAAGAUAGCAAUGCAAGACCAAGAAAAGUUACGCUAAUUCAUUAUGUUAUAAUUUUAUGUGCUUUAUUAAACAAAAUUUUAUUCAUUUGAAUGACUUGCUCAAGGGCUUUCAAUUCAUGUGCAUGUAAAUUGUAAUUACUCUGACUUGUCCUUGAUCUCCAAUGGAGAAACUAUGUUCUACGCUAAUGAGUAUGGAAUGCAUAUAGAUCCAGGGGGAAGUAAAGCAUUAUAAGUAAUGGAUUAGAAUCUAAAUCAAGAAUAAGAUUGGCCGUGCCUAUUCAUUGGACAAAAAAUAUUCUCCUAGACUAAAUUCCAAUUUCGGUUUCUCAUAAUUUUAGUUAGUUGUAUCCAAGUAGUUCCAAAAAGAUUGAACUAUAAUAUCAUAUAUCUAUAUAGCUUCUGCUCAAUUUAUGGUGAGAUCUUUAUAGUUUUGUGCUUGAUUCUCUUGUUCUUCCGUUCUAUAUCGACUGCUUCAUUAAUUUGCGACUGGAUUUAACUGAAAUGUCUAUUAAGUGAAUACCAAGCAAGACUUUUAUUUCUACAAAGAAAACCGGCUACAGCCUAAAGAUUACAAAUUUCCUUAUUUCUUAUUUUAUGUAUGUUAGAUCAAGGAUAUAUUUAGGUGUUACCCAUGAGAUGCUAUCAAUAAAUUGCUCAACUACUCGUAAUUAAUAAUUCUAAACAUCUCAUUACAUGUCAAUUACACCAAAAUCCACACAUCCAAAAUGGCUUUCUUAAAGAGUAUCCUUCCCGAAUCUAUGGCAUUCUUACACUUUUACAUGUUGAGGAUCCUAAUUUUAACUCAUUCAAGUUUGUUUGUGUUACUUUCAGUUCAAACAUUAGAUCACAACUGUGUUCUACAUCACAAAGGCAUAUGAACAAAUAUUAUGCAUACCAAUAUACAGAACAGAACAACAAUGUCAAACAAAUAUACAGAGGUAGUUUGUUUAGCAUUCUGAAGUGUCACUAAAGCAAACAAAAAACCCUAAUACAACUGGAACAUACCAGUGCGUCCCGUAGAAAUCUGAAUAGUGUUCGGAUCACUGGUAUGUGUUGAAGAAGAAGAUAGAGGACCCAAAGGAACGCGCUUACAACCUAUUUGUGAUUAAAACAAAAACUUACAAUAUGAAGAACUUACCAAACAUCUAGGACAGAGAGGAGAAAACGACACACAAUCUGUAGAGAGUUACCUCUAGUUUCCAUUGAUUACAGUUACGCAGAGUUGAUUUCGUAAAGAUUUAAAAUUUAAAUUGAAGAAGAAGAAGCGGUAACAGCAUCUCCAAUGGUGCUCUUAAAUCACUCUUUAAAAUAUAAUAUAAUAUUUGGCUCAUAGUGAAUUAAAACAUUGAAAAAGAUUUCAACUCCAAUGCUCUUCUUUGUACAUGCUCCUUAUUCAUAUUUUAUGCAUAUAAAUGAGAGGGAAAAGUAAAAAGAGAGAGAUGUUGGAGGUAAAGUUGGAGGGAACUAAUAUUAUAUUCAUGAAAAAAAGUUAAGAGCUCUUACAUGCUCUUUAAAAGAGAGGAGAGAUGAUGAGCUCUUAAAUUUUUAAAGAGCUUUAAGGAGCCCAUUUGAGCUCUAAUUUUUGCUUUGCUCUUUAAAUAUGAAGUUAAGAGCUUAUUUAGAGAGUCCCUCGGAGAUGCUCUAAACAUGAAAAAAACUAAACUGUGGCUAGAAUCACCUUUUGCUAGAAAAUGGCCCCAAUCUCAAGUAUUCUUGAGUUGGGGCCCAAAAUAACAGAAUUUAAAAAAUUGGCCCACAAUCUAGAGUUUUCAAUCAUCAAUAUACUUAUAUAAAGGAGAAGCGAGGGGCGUGUAGGUGGCGCGUCUCAUAUCGCUCCGUUCUAUUUUUCUAAUUUUCUGGAAUUUUUGGAUAAAAAAUAUCAAAAUUUAGAAUUACCUUUUUUAGAUUCGGGUAUAUUACAAGCAAGUUUCAGAAUCUGAUUUUGUUUAGGUGGCGUGUCUCACAUCGCUCCGUUCUAUUUUUCUAAUAUUCUGGAAUUUUUGGAUAAAAAAUAUCAAAAAUUAGAAUUACUUUUUUUAGAUUCGGGUAUAUUACAAGCAAGUUUCAGAAUCUGAUUUUGUUUCAAAUUAUUUAUGGAAUAUAGUAACUUGAUUAUGGAAUAUAGUAACUUGAAAGUUUUAAUCUGAUUUUGUUUCAGAUUAUUUAAUUAUGGGAAAAAGUAGCACACAAGUCUCUCUGCAUCUAUAAAUACCCCUAUAGUUUAUAGGGUUUUGGAUCAUCUAAACACAACCUCCUCCCUCUCAAUACCACAACCCUACCUCUUUCUGGUGAUAGUUCUUUUACUCGAUUUCUAACUCGGUGGUGCCGUUCUUCUGCAACGAUAAGUGAAGGUUGUUUAUACAAUAUUAAAAAAAUAAAGGUUGUUGUAAGCAAAGGUAGUUAUAGACCGCUAUGUUGGAGUCGACAAAUCCAAACACGGGAAAAGAAUAUAGUCUUGACAUGAUAUUGAUGAAUGAUAUCAAUAAAUUAACUAUUAGUGAGAUAUGUUUGUUGGUUAUUCUUUUAUAAUAUUUGUUUUGUUCAUCGGGCAUGUUUGUUGUUGUUAAUUUUUAUAUGAUUUACUUUGUAUAAAGAAAACAAUUAUUCAUGCAUUAUUUGUUUGCUCCGUUCAAGCAACUUUUAAGUGAAGGCUAUUUAUACAAUAUUAAAAAAUAAAGGUUGUUACAAGCAAGGGUAGUUAUAGACCGCUAUCUCAUGGAUUUAAGUUAAAUGUUUUUGUGCACAAUCAUCCAAAAAAAUCGGAGGAAGGUGAUAAUGUAAGAACAUGAUUACUUAAAAAAAACCACAAAUAAAAUUAAGAUUCGUCGUGUUUUAAAUUGUUAACUACGUGUUUAAAUUUAUUUUCAUAUUUUCAUCAUGAAUUAUAGUCCAAUUUUGCAAUUUUAUAUAUCAAUAUUGGUAUUAUAUCAAGAUUUUUAUAAUAUAAAAUUUAUUUAUUCUAUAAAUAUUAAUUUUGAAACAUUAAUAUACCUUUUAUAGACAACCACAAAAUUAUUUUAUUUUACAAAUAUUAAUAUUGAAUCAUUAAUAUAAUUUUUAUAGGCCGCCGGCGCCGCAACGCGCGGCUUCUCAACUAGUUUUAAGAUGAAAACUCGAUCGUAUAGAGUUUUGCGUCGUAUAAGCGUUUGUUAGGUCUAUAUCAUAAUAUUUAGGGCAUUAACACGCCCAACCCCAUUUGUGUACUCAGAGCUUUCUUCCAAUAUAACCCAUUUAAGCACAGAUUAUUCAUGAAACUAAUGUAUAAAACAUAUAUAAGACCUCCCAAGAUUAAUAUAAAAAUGUAUAAAACAUAUGGAACCGGAUACGGGUCUGGUCCGGAUUAAAUAGGUCUAUCCGCGAAUUCAAUAAAAAGACAUGUCUGUCCCUAAGUGGUGUGUUAUGUCCUCGAGUGGUGUGUUAUGAAUAAAAUAAAGAAGGGCAUAGUUUGUCUUUUGACAAAUCCUUUGCAUCCAUGAAUUAGAUUAUAGAUAGAGUUUUACUCCAAUGGAAACCUUCUUAAUCUAGAAACUAAAAAUCAAACUCGAAUAUCACUGAAUCCCAAAGCAAAUACCACUAAAUUCUUAAACAACUCCAUCUCCACUUCCAUCUUCACCAACCCCACCUCCAUCUUCACCAACCCCACCUCCACAUCCGCCACUACCACCACCUCUGUCGUCGCCUCCUCCAUAACCACCACCACCUCUAUGCCGCCCGUCCACUCCAUAACCAUGCACCACCUCCAUUAUUUCUUUAACAACACAAUCUCCACCUCCAUCUUCACCAGCCCCAUCUUGGUUGCUGCUUCAACCUCCUUCAGCCCCGUUCAUACUUCUUUCGCCACCUCGGCUCAACUUCAAAACGCGGUGGAGCCGCCACUAUUCCGGCAACGCUCCAAUCCCCUACUUCAAGCCGCCCAGACCUCCGCUACAAACAUCCCUCCUCCGUCUCCACCUUCACCUCCACCAUCUGAAUCGAAAACAUGAACAGAUCUGAAGAUUCUGAGCAGUUUCUGGAACAUAUCUGGAGAUUCUGGGCAGUUUCUACUAGUUUUCACUAAUUUUUGCAACACAUACACUAAAUCGUAAAGAGAAUAUCACUAAAUUGUACUGAAAAUAUCACUAACUUGUAUUGGUUUCUAAUUUUUAUUUUAAGAGUGGUUUCUAUUUGAUCAUGAGCCUAUAUAGAUAUAUAGAUUAGAAUACAUAUAGAUAUUAGAUAUAUAUAGAUAGAUAUAUAUAUAGAUAGAUAUAUAGAUAAACAAAGCCUAUCGACCAGGAAAAUAAAGAGAAAACAGGUGAUGAAGGGCGUGUUUUGCACUAUGAGUAAAGAUAAAGGGCGUGUUUGGCUUUACCCGGGGUUUUUCGUUUGAAUAUUCAUUCUGGGCCCGUCUAAACAAUUCGCAUUUCUUUUCAGUUUUUCACUUUAAAACAAAAAAUAAAUGUGUUGACAUUGUUGAAUGUUUUACUACUUUCGACCCUGGAAAUUGAUUGCUUGGAUCCGUCAUGUAAUAAUUAGUUCUUCAGUCGUUGAAUUUAGUGACCAAUGGUCAGAAUUUAAACAAAAUAUUUAGCACGUCUGGUGCUUUUUUAUUAUACAUUGAAAUUUUUUUCAAGUGCCAGGCGGUUUUUUUCUCUAAACACUGAAAUUUAUUUUUUGUAGAUGAUUUUUGGUCUUCAAAGAUGUUUCAGCAUUGCACUGUUGGUCUGCAUUGCUUGGAAGAGACAUGACAAAUUUUUCAAUCGACUUCUGAUCAUUUUCAAGCUGCUCCUCAAGCUCUGCAAUGUUACUUCCUUCUGAGUGAAGUCUGGUUAUUUCAUUCUUGAGGUUGGCACUGAUACUUUUGUUAACAGAAACAACACUUUCGACUUCAACUUCUUUAGGAGCUGGUCGAACUGCACACAUGUCUCUAAUUUCUGCUUGUAGCUUAGCAAUUGUUUCUGCAGCAUCCUGGUUACCUUGUCUAUGGCAAGCCACCUCUUUCUGCAAUACUUCCAGUGCUCGAUUUGCUUCCUCACCAAGCUGUUCCUGGAGGUGUUCAAGCUUUUUGAUCUCAUGCAUGAGUGUGAAUGGAGCAGUGGAGGACUGCCUCAUGGUCUGUCUUGCCAUUGUAUUUUUUGACUCAGAAAAAUUUAAAUCUCUUCUCUCUGCCUGUUUUACAUUUACAACUAUACUCAUUAACUUCCCCAAUACAGACAUAUUCAGUGUAAACCCUGAAGAUCACUUAAGCAAAAGAUAGUAGUUUGAGUUAGUAGACAGGUUGGUCAUAAUGUUUUGCUGUAUAUACAUGCAUAUGCUAUGCUUAUAAAUCUAUUAGUCAUCUUUCAGAUUCACACGUCUUUUAUAUAUAUGCAUUUGUAAGAAACAGAUUGUGAUCGAUGAUAAUGGAAUAACUUUUGAAUAACAUUUGCCCCGAGAAAGGAAUUACUCAAAUCAUCCACACAGAAAUAAACUCCAAGGUUAUUAUACCCUCCGGUCAGCAGGAGAAGAACUAUAUCUCACUGUACAGUUAGCUAUCUUGUUCACGGAUCAUCUAACAAACCCUGAUAUUAUUUU